GACGAACGCUGGCGGCGUGCCUAAUACAUGCAAGUAGAACGCUGAAGGAGGAGCUUGCUUCUCCGGAUGAGUUGCGAACGGGUGAGUAACGCGUAGGUAACCUGCCUGGUAGCGGGGGAUAACUAUUGGAAACGAUAGCUAAUACCGCAUAAUAGUAGAUGUUGCAUGACAUUUGCUUAAAAGGUGCAAUUGCACCACUACCAGAUGGACCUGCGUUGUAUUAGCUAGUUGGUGGGGUAACGGCUCACCAAGGCGACGAUACAUAGCCGACCUGAGAGGGUGAUCGGCCACACUGGGACUGAGACACGGCCCAGACUCCUACGGGAGGCAGCAGUAGGGAAUCUUCGGCAAUGGACGGAAGUCUGACCGAGCAACGCCGCGCGAGUGAAGAAGGUUUUCGGAUCGUAAAGCUCUGUUGUAAGAGAAGAACGAGUGUGAGAGUGGAAAGUUCACACUGUGACGGUAUCUUACCAGAAAGGGACGGCUAACUACGUGCCAGCAGCCGCGGUAAUACGUAGGUCCCGAGCGUUGUCCGGAUUUAUUGGGCGUAAAGCGAGCGCAGGCGGUUAGAUAAGUCUGAAGUUAAAGGCUGUGGCUUAACCAUAGUACGCUUUGGAAACUGUUUAACUUGAGUGCAAGAGGGGAGAGUGGAAUUCCAUGUGUAGCGGUGAAAUGCGUAGAUAUAUGGAGGAACACCGGUGGCGAAAGCGGCUCUCUGGCUUGUAACUGACGCUGAGGCUCGAAAGCGUGGGGAGCAAACAGG
rnacentral:rRNA from 1 species